rnacentral:rRNA from 1 species
UACGUAGGGGGCAAUCGUUGUCCGGAAUUAUUGGGCGUAAAGCGCGUGUAGGCGGCUCAGCAAGUCCGCUCUGAAAGCCCAGGGCUCAACCCUGGGAUGCGGGUGGAUACUGCUGAGCUCGAGUCCGGAAGAGGCGAGUGGAAUUCCUGGUGUAGCGGUGAAAUGCGCAGAUAUCAGGAGGAACACCAAGGGCGAAGGAAGCUCGCUGGGACGUGACUGACGCUGAGACGCGAAAGCGUGGGGAGCAAACAGG